GAUGAACGCUGGCGGCAUGCCUAACACAUGCAAGUCGAACGGCAACACGGGGGCUUGCACCUGGUGACGAGAGGCGCGGGGGGGAGAAUAACACGGGGACAACCUCUGUAGAGGGGGGGAGCAAGGCGAAGGAAGGGUAAAUACCACCGAAGAAUAUCGGAAGAAACAGGGGGACAUAGGGAACUCCGGUUUUGGGGUCACCCGAUGGCGGAUUAGCGAGUUGGUGGGGUAAAGGCAUACCAAGGCGACGAUAAGUAGCCGGUCUGAGAGGGAGACCAGCCACACUGGGACUGAGACACGGCCCAGACUCCUACGGGAGGCAGCAGUGGGGAAUUUUGCACAAUGGGCGAAAGCCUGACCCAGCAAUGCCGCGUGUGUGAUGAAGGCCUUCGGGUUGUAAAGCACUGUUGUCCGGAAAGAACUCCUUUGUCCUAAUCCGGGCGGGGGAUGACGGUACCGGAUGAAUAAGCCCCGGCUAACUACGUG
rnacentral:rRNA from 1 species